rnacentral:rRNA from 1 species
GACGAACGCUGGCGGCGUGCUUAACACAUGCAAGUCGAACGCUGAAGCUCAGCUUUUGUUGGGUGGAUGAGUGGCGAACGGGUGAGUAACACGUGAGUAACCUGCCUCCUUCUUUGGGAUAACGCCCGGAAACGGGUGCUAAUACUGGAUAUUCACUGGUCUUCGCAUGGGGGUUGGUGGAAAGGGUUUUUCUGGUGGGGGAUGGGCUCGCGGCCUAUCAGCUUGUUGGUGGGGUGAUGGCCUACCAAGGCUUUGACGGGUAGCCGGCCUGAGAGGGUGACCGGUCACAUUGGGACUGAGAUACGGCCCAGACUCCGACGGGAGGCAGCAGUGGGGAAUAUGGCACAAUGGGCGCAAGCCUGAUGCAGCGACGCCGCGUGAGGGAUGGAGGCCGUCGGGUUGUGAACCUCUUUCGCUCAUGGUCAAGCCGCAACAAUGGUUGUGGUGAGGGUAGUGGGUAAAGAAGCGCCGGCUAACUACGUG